rnacentral:rRNA from 1 species
CACGUAGGGCGCAAGCGUUGUCCGGAAUUAUUGGGCGUAAAGAGCUCGUAGGUGGUUUGUUACGUCUGCUGUGAAAACCUAGGGCUUAACCCUGGGCUUGCAGUGGAUACGGGCAGACUAGAGGUAGGUAGGGGAGAAUGGAAUUCCUGGUGUAGCGGUGAAAUGCGCAGAUAUCAGGAGGAACACCGGUGGCGAAGGCGGGUCUCUGGGCCGUAACUGACGCUGAGGAGCGAAAGCGUGGGGAGCGAACAGG